rnacentral:rRNA from 1 species
CAGUCGCCGCGGUAAUACGAGGGGUGCAAGCGUUAUUCGGAUUGAUUGGGUGUAAGGGGUGUGCAGACGGCUUAUUAAGUCACUUGUUAAAUUCUUCGGCCUAACUGAAGGUCUGCAAGUGAUACUGAUGAGCUAGAGGGUGGAAGAGAGAAGUGGAAUUCUCGGAGUAGCGGUAAAAUGCGUAGAUCUCGAGAGGAACACCAAUGGCGAAGGCAGCUUCUUGGUCCAUUCCUGACGUUCAUACACGAAAGCGUGGGGAGCAAACAGGAUUAGAUACCCCGGUAGUCCCUGUCUCUUAUAA